UACGUAGGCAGCAAGCGUUGUUCGGAAUUACUGGGCGUAAAGAGUGUGUAGGCGGUGCUCUAAGUUCGGUGUGAAAUCUCCCGGCUCAACUGGGAGGGUGCGCCGAAAACUGGAGUGCUGGAGCGCGGGAGAGGAAAGCGGAAUUCCUGGUGUAGCGGUGAAAUGCGCAGAUAUCAGGAGGAACACCGGUGGCGAAGGCGGGUCUCUGGGCCGAUACUGACACUGAGGAGCGAAAGCGUGGGGAGCGAACAGG
rnacentral:rRNA from 1 species